rnacentral:rRNA from 4 species
AAGACGAUGACGUUGAUAGGUCGGGUGUGUAAGCGCAGCGAUGCGUUGAGCUAACCGAUACUAAUGAACCGUGAGGCUUAACCUU